GUUGCCAGAGAGACUGCACACGCUUCGCGUAACACACACGUAUACACACGGUUGCGUUCUCUUGACACACAGCUGACACAACGCUCGUAAACACGCGACAAUCGGACAAAGACGGAUGCACCGCUAAACCGCAGUCGGAAAGCAAUAGUAAGAGCACUAGCAGCAACACCGGAGCAAGCAAUGCGAACAUCACGGUCACCGGAAGUAUGAACCUGACAAUCACGACAUACAAGGAAUAUGACGAGGAUCGGUUAUGUGUUUUUUUGCACUGAAUAACGUCGCCACACAUAUACAUCAUUCACGCACUCUGUCGAGUUUAAGUUCCUCUUUUAUAUAUUUAUCUUUAUCGCACAAUAGGUUUAUACGUUCGUCUCUUUCUUUCGCAUGAGCGUUUAUCGCUCCCUCUGUCUCUCGCUCUCGUUCGUCCGUCCGUCUGUCUGUCUGUCUGUCGGUGUCCGACAGUGUGUAUAUCGCCGUCUCGUCGCUGCUGUCGAAUCCGUUCCGUGCGCGGCCCCUGUGUGGGACGCCGCCGCUGGGACACACGGGCGUGGACGAGUAGACGCGCUCUUUCCACGAUCUUUCGACACUAUUUUCUUUAAUGUACUUACCACUGGGCGAGCUGACGUGGCGUCGCGCGCGCGCGGGGCCUUCACACCACGGGUAAAAUUCGCACAGUAAUAUUAGCGCGCAAGGCUGCACCCCGGUAAAUACGAGCGCAGUCACCACUCUUGUUUUUGGUAUGCCAGGAAUGGCACAAAGAAUCUGGACAACGCACACGCCUGCUGCGCAGCCGGUCUGCGCACACGCUGACACCGCUUAUGCGGCCGCGGGAGAAACCAGAAGCCGAACGUGCCCGAUUAAGCACGAAUCUCCCCGAAGUCAGCCGAUUACCUACCCCCACCGCGAUAUACAAGAUUCGCAUUACCCCACUCCCCGCGCACGAGAUCAGUCGCGUCACGCACGUAAUAGAGGUUGGAUGUUGUUGCUCGCUUACUCGUUUAUUCUCUCUCGCUCGAUGUUCGAGGGGCACUUGUUGAAUUUCAGAGGUUACGUUUUAGGUUUUUCGAAUAAACCUUUUGAUAAAUGGCAACACACCAACCGCAAAACAGCCACCUUUAUCUCUCUUAUACGCGUUUUUUCCAUGCAAUCUGAUAUUGGACAUACAUACGCUAUCAAAUAUAAUGCACUCCUUUUUUAUUAUACGUACGAACUGAUCCGCUUGUGUAAUAAUAAAAUAUAUUGUACUUUGAAAAUAUACUUUGUAAUUCGUAAAUU